UACUAAUCAAGGUCUAAGGGUUACUGGAGUUAAGACUCAAUGUUGGCAUGUUCUGAAGGAAUUUGAUUCUUAUUUUAUUCACAAACGAUCUGUGAGUUUGAGGAUUAAUAGUUAAUUGCUUUUUCAAGUGCUUCCUUGUCGCUGGAAAUGGUGCCUGAAGUCUGGUAUUAAACCCAUUUUUGUAAAACAUUCUAUUCAGGAGACUCAACAGCUGCCCAGGUGAG